AAGAAGGGACGCUGAUAGGUAUAGUCUUCUGUCCAACAGUGCAGGAGAUGAUGCAUCGUGAUUUUUUUAAACACUUUUAACUUUUCCGUACUGUCCGUUUUUUACAUUCUUUAAAAUCUUUUGACGCUUAAUAUCUUCGGAUCUACGAAGCCUAACGAGCUGACAUUUUAUACGCCGACUCGUUGUCUCGCGUGACAAUUCAAGAUUUCAUAAUAACAAAAAAAUAACCAGACUCAGUGUCCUGCCGAUCGUGGGUUUAUUCAUGUUUUUGACUUAAUUUGAAUAAUUCCAACCCACACAUUUUACCACCCCUCCCCCGAUUUUUUUUAAACCACAAAUGGUCGCGCCCAACUUCGAGGGGGCAAACGUCUCGUCCAAUCAGAGCGGCUGUUUUUGGCCAGCCUCUGACCAAUGAGGGGCCUUGCUGACAUCGCCGCUCGUCACGGCGCCGGAGCGGCCGCUGCGCUUCCGGCUUCUUCAGCGCGGCACCAACAAUGACGACAACAACGACAACAACGACAACAACAAUAACAACAACAACUGCUACUGCUAAAACACGAUGGACGGGUUGGGCGACGUCCCGGCCGCGCCGAAUGCGGUAAUCGGGUUGGACUACGAGGAAGAUGCGUCCUUGCUUAAAUUACAACGACGAGUCAGGGAGGCCACCAGUGAGGCGGCUACACGUGGUGUCACCUCGGUUGUCCUGCGGGGCGGGCUGCUCAUGCACUGGGACGGUGGAUUACACCGGCGCUGCGCGAUUGAUGCCUCGCACGUGGCCGCUCGUGUCGGCCUCGCGUGCUCCAGUCGUGGAAGGUCGGACGGUCCAGCCUACUGCUCUUUGUGAGGAGCCGGCUUCGUCCGAUCGAUUGCUCAUUUCCCCCGGGUCGUCCAGGGCGGACGAGCCAAACCCCCCUGGAGGCCCGGCAUCGCGGACUCGCUCAAUGACACGGUUUGCAUAAUCCCCGCACGUUGCACACUCCCACGCCGUCAUUGGUUGUCGCGCUCGCAUGAGUCAUGGCGAGUAAUUGGCUGAUCCCGCUUGCCAAUGAGCUCACGAGCAUUGUUACGCGUUGUGGGUGGUAGAUGCUAAUUGCGAGGGCUCUGCAUGUCGCGAUUGUUGUUGUUCUGCAUUCUUAUUGUUAGCCAGUGUAUCAUUGUACAGGUGAGUUUAGGUAUUUAUUGGUAGUUUUGUUAUUGUUGGAGCCCACGUGCAUUACAUUGUAUAUAUAUUUGUCGUUGCUUCGUUUAGGGAAAGUUGACAGCCGGGACGGCUGAGUGCUACGGGGGGGUGGGGGGUGAUGUAGUGAUGUAGUGACUGGGAAUGUUACUGCGUGGUGCCGGGCCUCAGAGGCCACGGCGGGAUGCCUACUGUUGUGUGUACACCCCGGACACGGGGUGUAGUACCAGCCCUAGUGGGGGCCUGGGUGAGCACUGGUUAAGCGCGGUGGCACCAUGCAGAGCAUGCAUUGCAGGCUCCCGUUGAAAGAGCGAGAGAGUGUCAGCAGCUGGGGUUACGUUGGGGGCAUGAUACUCUGGCUGACCUGGGGACACGUGACCCGAUGAUACUGGAGGGGGACCACCGGUGGAGGGGGCCCAAUGGGUGGUCACAUGGUCCGAGAAGAACUCUCAAGAGCCUUAGGGCAAGGGCGAGAGAGAUCGAGAAGGCGGGCGGGGCAAGAGGCGGAGCCAGCCCCAGCCCAGCCUGAUAUGAAGGGGGCCCUGUGAGGGGCUCGGGGUUCUUACGGUUGGAGAGGCAGGAGAUCCACGUCAAGCUUGAAGAAGCCUCCAGCCACGCGGUCUCGGACCCAGCUUGUGGUCUGGACCGGGAUAGUGGAACCGUGUCUAGUUCCGCCGUAGCGUGGUUAGUUGGGUGAUCACCAUCCGAGAGUUUGUUGUGCUAAGAGUUUCAUAAAACGUGUUGCUCCCAAGACGUCUGCGACUCGGACUCCCUACAACUACAAAGACACCGACCAACACAAAUAUGAACCUACCCACACACCCACCCCAUGCACUCCACGCACCCCAUUUACCGUAACAGCAACAUAGCAUGAAUCGAAAACGGCAGCACAAUCCGCAAUUGCAAGACAUGACACACUGUUGUAAAUGUUCUUAAUGUGUUUAUUUAAGAAAAUAUUUAAAUACAGUGCACAUCAACAACAGUAGCAUUUCUAAUCACAUUUAUCCUCACUGCUAACGGAUGGCCCUGGGAUUCGCCGCACGUCUGGCUUGGUCUGCGUCUCCACCACCACCAGGCCCUCCCUCCAACUCCCACAGCCCCGGGGCAGCCUGCCCCUUCCAUGUCCUGGACACCGUGGCCAGGUCAUCGUCUGAGGACCGCCUAGAUGAAAACCAGCAUGGAAGGGUCCGGGAUGGGGCUGGCUACGGUUCUGGGCUAGUCCAAUGUGUAUGUUAGGCGUGCGUGUGGGGUGUGUGUGUGUGGGGGUAUGCGUGUAGG